CGCGGUCGUCAUAGCGGCAGGGAAACGCCCGGUCCCAUCCCGAACCCGGAAGCUAAGCCUACCAGCGCCGAUGGUACUGCACCCGACAGGGUGUGGGAGAGUAGGACACGACCGCAA
rfam:Jonesia denitrificans DSM 20603, complete genome.